AUGUUCUCCUGGAGCCGCGUCAUGCGGCCACUCGCCCGCAUCGCCGGUGCCAAGGUCCUCGCCUUCGACCGGCCGGCGUUUGGCCUGACCUCCCGGGCCAGAUGGUCCGGCGAUGACACCAAGCCUCUCAACCCUUACUCCAUGGCCUUCUCGGCCAUGGCCACACUGGCAUUCAUAGACCACCUCGGCGCCGGGAAGGCCGUCCUUGUUGGGCACUCUGCCGGUUGCCUCGUUGCAGUGGAGGCGUACUUCGAGGCGCCCGAGCGGGUAGCGGCGCUGGUGCUGGUUGCACCGGCGAUUUUCGCGCCGAGGAAGGGUGAGAAAGAGAACAGCGUAGAGGAGCAGGAAGGGGCAGACAAGAAGGAUUCUGAUGAUAACAAUGCAGCACCAAAUCCAUUUGCUAGGAUAUGGAGAGGGUUUCUUGGCAUGUGUAUGUGGCUUGCAGGGCUUGUUCUCAAGUUGGUCAUGGCAAUACAGGAUACGGUCAGAGCUUUGUCUUCUAAGGUUCUUGUGGCCUUUCUACGAUCUUCACUGGCGGCGAGUCUGGUGAGAUUGAUCAUGGAUAAAUUCGGCGUAACGGGCGUUCGUAAUGCAUGGUAUGACCCAAGCAAAGUAACUGAUCAUGUUAUUCAAGGCUACACCAAGCCACUAAGAUCCAAGGGAUGGGAGACGGCUCUCUUGGAGUACACUAUAUCCAUGAUCACAGAUUCUACACCUAAGUCAAGAGUGCCAGUAUCGAAGAGGCUCUCUGAGAUCUCAUGCCCAGUGCUAGUGGUGACUGGCGACACAGACCGCCUUGUUCCAGCUUCAAAUGCUGAACGUCUAGCGCGUGCGAUUCCUGGCGCGACAUUUGAGGUUAUCAAGAAUUGUGGGCACUUGCCCCAGGAGGAACGAGCUGAAGAAUUCCUUUCUGUCGUCGAACGGUUCCUACAGAGGGCCUUUGGAACUCCAGAUGAGCAUGUGUUCCAAGCAGCUGUAUGA
rnacentral:rRNA from 1 species